CAUAGAAGCACGCGUGUUUGGGGACACACUUUCGUACACACGGCGCACCACGAGUCACGGCUCACGUGAUAAGCUCAUCGUCGAUCAUAUCGGAUUAGUUGAUCUUCGGAGUCGGUUGAUCCGUGUGAGUCUUAUGAAACACGCACGAAUCACGUGACACACACACUUGCCCUUUGAAGUUAUUCAAAGUUGGCAGCCAGCAACACAAACUAGCAAUUGAUGUGUUGCGAACUAAAUGAUAAAUGAUGUAAAGAAUUAUUGCGAUUCUAUAUAAUAAUUUUAAUUGUCAUCAUUUUAAAAAUAAUUAGUUAACUAUUACUACGUUUACACGACGACGUUAAUCCGGCUUAGUAACAACCGUAGUUAGUGAAAUCUUGCGUUAGAUUGACACAUUCGUUUAAAUCUAUACUUGUGAUCCAAUUAAAUGCAAGAAAUUAUUAAUUACGGUUGUUACUAAACCGGUUUAACAUUGCUGUGUAAACAUAGUAUAUGGUCAAUUUAUGAGCUUAUAAUUGAUUAUAUGAUAUAGUGAAUAUAAACUUGUGAAUAUAAACAGUGAA